rnacentral:lncRNA from 1 species
CCAGAAGAGGAGUCGUACGGGUGAAGAGGUGAGCUCUAAGCGUAUACACAUAGAUAGAUCUGGGUAAGCGACCAUCAGCGGUAUGGGUAGCAGCUACUAUCAGUACGCCAGUCUAAGGCUGUUCGUAGAGGUAGGUCGUAGAGAUCUAUGAAGGGCUAUCUUUAGCAUAAAUAGCAUGGUUAAUUAUAGAAUAGCGUGAUGGCCGUAAGAAGAUCAUAAAUAAGGUAAAUAGUCUGGAGUGGAUGUCUA